GCCCUCAUCGUCUAGUGGUCUAGGACAUCAGCCUUUCAAGCUGGAGAUCAGGGGUUCGAAUCCCCUUGGGGGCA
rfam:Syntrophaceae bacterium CG2_30_49_12 cg2_3.0_scaffold_27587_c, whole genome shotgun sequence.